UAAAAAUCGGGGGUCUUUUUAUGAUGUUUUAGGUCUGAAGAUUUACGACGAGAAUUUGGUCGUUAUGGUCCUAUAGUUGAUGUGUAUGUUCCACUUGAUUUCUACACGCGCCGUCCAAGAGGAUUUGCUUAUGUUCAAUAUCCUUUCUUCAGAUGGCUGAUUAGUGAGGGGUGUUGAAGUUUGAAAUUCAAGUUUAUGUAAGAGAGAAUGUAAAGCUGUACAGUUAUGGCGACCCCAAAGAGAAAGCAUGAAAGAACCUUUAGAGUAGAGUUCAACACUUAAGGCAAGUAGACAAGCCAAAGACCUCUUAAGGAUCAGGCUUGAAGAGAAGGGAGAGUUUGGGAAAAGAAAAAAUAAAGAAAAGCUGGAAGAAGGACAAGCCUAAUGGGAGACAAAGCCUCGCUUUAUCUACAAAAGGGGGAAAAGGUUGUUUUUCAAAGUUAAAGAUAAAGCCAUCUGUCAUAUUUGGCCAAGCAUCUCAUGACAAGUCCUUCUGACAAGCACUUAAAGAGUUAAAGGUCAAGAUGAAGUUGAAUGAUGGCCAAGAUUAAAGGAGUCAUACCUGAUAUGUCCGCGAUGCCGAAGACGCUUUACAUAAUUUGGACAGAAAAUGGAUUUGUGGACGCCAAAUUGAAAUACAGUUUGCACAGGGGGAUCGGAAAAGUAAGUAUCCUUAUGCUUGAUAUAUGUAUAUAUAUAAUACUUCAUUUUUAAACAGUGCUUUGAUAUCUCUUUUUGGAAGUAUUUGCAAUUUGUCUAUGUUCAAAAUCUAAAAAGAGUUUUUGAAAAGAUAGAGUAUCUCACAUACUUUGCAAAAAGGUAGAAUGUGAAGAUUAAAAUGCCUGAAAUGUGUUUGGACUUGGGGAUGGAAUUAAAAGGGAAAUAAUUUGGAAAGUAUUGGGUCUUUUCAGCCGUUCGUCUUCAUAAAGAUCUUCAAGGUAUAAUUGGGUAUUUGGGUGCUUGGCUGUGGAAAUGGACAGAUAAAAUUGAGAAGGAUUACAGGUGAAACCUAGAAUCGGUUUUAU
rnacentral:lncRNA from 1 species